rnacentral:misc_RNA from 1 species
GACACUUCCGAAAGGGAAACACCGGUAGGCUUGUUUUCACCAAAGCAAGCAAAGAGCGUUCCAACCUGGCUUAGUUUCGAUAGCAAUGGGAAGGGUCAUGAUGGGAUGGUGAUAUCCGGAGGUUUUGCCAUGUCAGAUUAUACGGUUGUGAUGCCUCAGGUGAUGAGGGUGGUUAUUGGGUCAUGCGUAACAGUGGAAUGUAU